AACAUCUUCUCAGCUUGUUUCACUGACCUAGAAAGCCAAGCUCCUGAUGAAGGAAGAGGACUUAACUCUAAGCGUACCAGAAGGGCUUGUCAGAUACAGAUGAGGGUCUGGGGGCGGGGGGAGGCAGGGCUGGCACCUGGAGGACACCCACCUGUGCCCUUGCCAGGUGCAGACAAGGCUCAGUGAGCACAUGGCCUCGGGAGCAGCACCCUCUCACAACCGCAGGGCCUGGAAGAAAGAGCCUUUGUUUAAGUUUCACAUUCGGCAGGAAGUGCCCCUGCUCCUCUCUAACCCCAACGCCCCCUCCUCCCCGCAUCAGAGCCUGAAGGAAAUUUGCCCCAGAUGUUGGUCCAUAAAUGGAGAGCUUUCAUCAGCCCGGAUGAAAGGGUGUUAGUAAUUCACAGAUUUCCCCAGAAGCAAGAGCCAAAAGGAGAAGUUCCAGCCAGUUUGUCUCCAUCAAUAAACCAAAGGCUUACCAAUCAAUUAAAGCCCCUCCCCUCCACGGGCAGGAAAAUUUACAACAUGCAAAACAUUUCAUUUUCACUCUUAGGGGACUCACUUUAUGGGAUAGUAAGAAC
ensembl:lncRNA